UUGGCCUUGACAUACUAAGAACUUUCCAGAGAUGGAUUGGUGCCUUCGGGAACUUAGAUACAGGUGCUGCAUGGCUGUCGUCAGCUCGUGUCGUGAGAUGUUGGGUUAAGUCCGCAACGAGCGCAACCCUUUUCCUUAUUUGCCAGCGGGUCAUGCCGGGAACUUUAAGGAUACUGCCAGUGACAAACUGGAGGAAGGCGGGGACGACGUCAAGUCAUCAUGGCCCUUACGGCCAGGGCUACACACGUGCUACAAUGGUCGGUACAAAGGGUUGUUACCUCGCGAGAGGAUGCUAAUCUCAAAAAGCCGAUCGUAGUCCGGAUCGCAGUCUGCAACUCGACUGCGUGAAGUCGGAAUCGCUAGUAAUCGCGGAUCAGAAUGCCGCGGUGAAUACGUUCCCGGGCCUUGUACACACCGCCCGUCACACCAUGGGAGUUUGUUGCACCAGAAGUAGGUAGUCUAACCGCAAGGAGGACGCUUACCACGGUGUGGCCGAUGACUGGGGUGAAGUCGUAACAAGGUAAGCGUAGAUGA
rnacentral:rRNA from 1 species